CUGCUGAUGACGAAAAAUCAUCCUUGCUCUGCGAGCUGUGCAUGGAAUCCGAUGUUGGCAUCGCGUCGUCGGGACGCGUUGCCUGAUUCAGAGAUAACGGCACAGCGGUGAACAGCGUUGGCCUCUGAAGCAG
rnacentral:snoRNA from 1 species